CCUACGGGUGGCAGCAGUGGGGAAUAUUGGACAACGGGCGAAAGCCUGAUCCAGCCAUGCCGCGUGUGUGAAGAAGGCCUUCGGGUUGUAAAGCACUUUCAGUGGGGAAGAAAGCCUUGGGGCUAAUACCCUCGAGGAAGGACAUCACCCACAGAAGAAGCACCGGCUAACUCCGUGCCAGCAGCCGCGGUAAUACGGAGGGUGCGAGCGUUAAUCGGAAUUACUGGGCGUAAAGCGCGCGUAGGCGGUCUGAUAAGCCGGUUGUGAAAGCCCCGGGCUCAACCUGGGAACGGCAUCCGGAACUGUCAGGCUAGAGUGCAGGAGAGGAAGGUAGAAUUCCCGGUGUAGCAGUGAAAUGCGUAGAGAUCGGGAGGAAUACCAGUGGCGAAGGCGGCCUUCUGGACUGACACUGACGCUGAGGUGCGAAAGCGUGGGUAGCAAACAGGAUUAGAUACCCGAGUAGUC
rnacentral:rRNA from 1 species